AUGAAAUAUGACACAAAAACAAAGACUCAAACAAAACAAAGCAAAACAAGACAAAAGAUACGUUUAUUUUUAUUUUUAUUUUUAAAAAAUCCAUUGGGAGCAGAAGAUCCUGGGUGUCAAAGAGGACAGACCUCCACCACUUGCAAGGAGAGAUUCUGGAUACUUUGGCUCUUACUCACUGGCUUGUACCUGGACCUGCUCAGCCCUGGGAGGUGGAGGUGGAGGUGGAGGGGCCGCCCCAGCAUCUGCCUGGGUAUUCUUCCAGAGCCCACCCCAUCCAGUGCCCUCAGUUGGAAGGACAGAGCUGUGCGUGGCACGUGGACUGCCCUGAGUGCCCCCCUCCCCCCCAGCUCGCCUCAGGCAGGGCAGAAGACUCUCCAUCCCCAACAGCAUGCAGCUGCCCUCCCCCUUUGCCCCAGGCAGCAAACGUCGGGCCAGUGUGUGUUCUAGCACCUCCCCGAGGUCACGGAUGCUUUUUGGACUGUGGCGCCUCAACUGUGCCUUCCGGGUGCUUAUGUCCUUGCAAAGACACUCCGCCUCUGAAAUAGCUCUUUAGGGGAAAAAAAUUAAAAUGUGCAGCCGUAUCUCUGGCCUCUGCUCUCGGCUUGUACUGAAGCAGCACACGCUGUCCUCCCCCCUUCCUUGCAAGCUGGAGGGGUGGGGUUGUGAAUCUGCCACUACGUGGAGGUCCCCUGACCGCCAAAGAAGGUGGGCAGCCGACCCUGUGUUGUGCGCUCAGGCCUGGCGUGCCCAGGGAGGGUAGCCUGCACCAUUGACUUGUAAACCACCCAGCGAGUGCUUGAAGCGCUGUUGGGGGGGGGGCAGUCUACGAGCUGCAUGCUUUGCUUUUUUUUCCUGUGUGGUGGCUGUGGACAGAAUGGCUUGGGCCGAAACCACCCAGCGAGUGCUUGAAGCGCUAUUGGGGGGGGCAGUCUACGAGCUGCACGCUUUGCUUUUUUUCCUGUGUGGUGGCUGCGGACAGAAUGGCUUGGGCCAGUUGCCCUAUUCUGUGGAUGACCUCCCACAAGGUGCAGGCUCUGGGAUCAGGUCCCGACUCCCCCAGGGGACUGAGGACUGGGCAGAGACAGGGGAGUGUUUUCCCUACUGCCCCACCGUGCCCAUCGCCCCACGAUUGGGCCCCAGGUUUUUUAAAUUGUUUCCAGGUGACCCUGCGCCCCCCCCCCGGUCAGCCACCUAUUCAUUUAAAUGGAGGAAGAAUCUUUGAAGAGCGGAAGGAAGAUCCCGGAGGAGGCAGGACUGGUUGCCGGCAGUGCUCCAAGGGCAGACCAUGCCUGGCGAUGCUGGCCUCUGGUCUCGACUGGCCCCUGCCAGGUGUCUGGGACGUCCUGCCUCUGAAGUCGUAGGUGCCAGACGACCGGGGCUUCCUGUCUCUUGGCUCCCUCUUUAAAUGUUGGUCAGACCUCCUAAGUCCUUGGGCAGAGUGUUACAUACAGCACUGAUGGUACCUGUCUGUCAUGGGUUUGGAGGGAAAGUUCCAUCCUAUGGGGAGUGGAAGGCGGGACAUCAGGGGGGAGGUGCUGUACUGUAUAAAUAUGUGGAGCUUAGAAGCUGGGAAGAAGAAGCUGGUGUGGGAGUCUGUGUGUCAGACAGGGUACUGCUGUGUGUCAGUCAGUACCAACCUGAUAGGUUCAGGUGUCUGUAUGGGUAGCCAGAACUGAUAGGUUCAGGGUCUGUGCUUUACUUUAAAGUGUUCUGUGUGAACCAAACUGUUGUAUGUAUGAUUGAGACUAAGCCACGUUACAGUAUCUUAUUUACCUGAUCUUUUUAUUUACCCUGUUUGUUAUUUAAAUAAACCUUGUUCUUUUGUUUAGUAAAAUCCA
ensembl:lncRNA